UGCUGGCCCCUUCGGGGGCAUGUGCACGUCCGAGCCGUUUAAAUCAACACCUGUGAACUCACCGUAGGCCUUCGGGCUUAUGUAUCAUAUAUAUAUACUCAGAUCAUAGAAUGUACAUUUUGCCUUUAAAAAAGCAAUCAAAUACAACUUUCAACAACGGAUCUCUUGGCUCUCGCAUCGAUGAAGAACGCGCCGAAAUGCGAUAAGUAAUGUGAAUUGCAGAUUUUCAGUGAAUCAUCGAAUCUUUGAACGCACCUUGCGCUCCUUGGUAUUCCGAGGAGCAUGCCUGUUUGAGUGUCAUUAAAUCCUCAACCCCGUCCGUCGGUCGGGGCUUGGACUUUGGAGCGUGCUGGCGAAGGUCGGCUCCUCUUUAAAUGCAUCGGCGGAGAAAAACAAACCUUUUUUCCCCCUUCAGCGUGAUAACUGCGUUGCGCUGUGGUCGCGAAAGGGUCCGCUCAUAAUCGUCCUCGGACAAACACCGAAUCUGUUUUGAGAUCACAUAACGUGUGAGUACACGCUGAGAUUUUACAUAUA
rnacentral:sRNA from 1 species